AGAAAAUCGUCGUCCGUUUACAAUUGAAAAUAAACAUGCAGAUGUCCUCCCUAAAGAGCACCAAAAAGCGCGGUUUAUGGGAGGAAUGUAGAGAGGGUUGUUCUUAUGAGGAAGUUUGUGAGGUGGUUGAACCACCAAGCCAAUUUUCGUCUAGCGAUCUUUCAGAUAACGCCAAUCGAAGAAAACGUGGUAAAGAUACAAAAGAAAGGAUCGUAAAGAUUGUUGAAAGAAAGGCAAACGAUGACUUGGGGAAUAUGUAAAAAAGGCUGA